AUAGCGUAUAUUAAAGUUGUUGCAGUUAAAAAGCUCGUAGUUGGAUUUCGGCGUGCGCUUGGGCUGGUCGGCCGUCAAGGUCUGUACCGUUCAGGUCACGCCCCACUGUAGGAUACUCACCGCUGUCCUUAACUGGGUGGCGGUAAAAGGUAUAGUCUAUGGGGGAAACCCUGUAGGUUAUGCUGGGGUUCCUACUCUUUUACUUUGAGCAAAUUAGAGUGUUCAAAGCAGGCAAUCGGGCCUUGAAUACUUCAGCAUGGGAUAAUGGAACAGGACUGGGGUCCUGAUUUCGUUGGUUUCUAGGAUCUCAGUAAUGAUUAAUAGGGAUAGUUGGGGGCAUUAGUAUUUAAUUGUCAGAGGUGAAAUUCUCGGAUUUGUUAAAGACUAACUUAUG
rnacentral:rRNA from 1 species